ACGCUGGCGGAAUGCUUUACACAUGCAAGUCGAGCGGCAGCACGGAGAGCUUGCUCUCUGGUGGCGAGUGGCGAACGGGUGAGUAAUAUAUCGGAACGUGUCCAAUAAUGGGGGAUAACGAGUCGAAAGAUUCGCUAAUACCGCAUACGCCCUACGGGGGAAAGCAGGGGAUCGUAAGACCUUGCGUUAAUGGAGCGGCCGAUAUCUGAUUAGCUUGUUGGUGAGGUAAAGGCUCACCAAGGCGACGAUCAGUAGCUGGUUUGAGAGAACGACCAGCCACACUGGAACUGAGACACGGUCCAGACUCCUACGGGAGGCAGCAGUGGGGAAUUUUGGACAAUGGGGGCAACCCUGAUCCAGCCAUUCCGCGUGAGUGAAGAAGGCCUUCGGGUUGUAAAGCUCUUUCGCAAGGGAAGAAAACUUAUGAUCGAAUAAAUCAUGAGGUUGACGGUACCUUGAUAAGAAGCACCGGCUAACUACGUGCCAGCAGCCGCGGUAAUACGUAGGGUGCGAGCGUUAAUCGGAAUUACUGGGCGUAAAGCGUGCGCAGGCGGUUUUGUAAGUCGGAUGUGAAAUCCCCGGGCUCAACCUGGGAACUGCGUUCGAAACUGCAAGGCUAGAGUGUGUCAGAGGGGGGGUAGAAUUCCACGUGUAGCAGUGAAAUGCGUAGAGAUGUGGAGGAAUACCAAUGGCGAAGGCAGCCCCCUGGGAUAACACUGACGCUCAUGCACGAAAGCGUGGGGAGCAAACAGGAUUAGAUACCCUGGUAGUCCACGCCCUAAACGAUGUCAACUAGUUGUUGGUAGAGUAAAAUCUAUGAGUAACGUAGCUAACGCGUGAAGUUGACCGCCUGGGGAGUACGGUCGCAAGAUUAAAACUCAAAGGAAUUGACGGGGGCCCGCACAAGCGGUGGAUUAUGUGGAUUAAUUCGAUGCAACGCGAAAAACCUUACCUGGCCUUGACAUGUACCGAAUUGAGCAGAGAUGUUCAAGUGCUCGAAAGAGAACGGUAACACAGGUGCUGCAUGGCUGUCGUCAGCUCGUGUCGUGAGAUGUUGGGUUAAGUCCCGCAACGAGCGCAACCCUUGCCAUUAAUUGCCAUCAUUUAGUUGGGCACUUUAAUGGGACUGCCGGUGACAAACCGGAGGAAGGUGGGGAUGACGUCAAGUCCUCAUGGCCCUUAUGGCCAGGGCUUCACACGUAAUACAAUGGUCGGUACAGAGGGUUGCCAACCCGCGAGGGGGAGCCAAUCCCAGAAAGCCGAUCGUAGUCCGGAUUGUAGUCUGCAACUCGACUGCAUGAAGUCGGAAUCGCUAGUAAUCGCGGAUCAGCAUGUCGCGGUGAAUACGUUCCCGGGCCUUGUACACACCGCCCGUCACACCAUGGGAGUGGGUUUUACCAGAAGUAGUUAGUCUAACCGCAAGGGAGACGAUUACCACGGUAGGAUUCAUGACUGGGGUGAAGUCAUAACAAGGUAACCGUA
rnacentral:rRNA from 1 species